rnacentral:rRNA from 1 species
UACGAGGGGGGCAAAUGUUGUUCGGAAUCACUGGGCGUAAAGGGAGCGUAGGCGGGUUUUUAAGUCAGGUGUUUAAUCCCGGGGCCCAACCCCGGACCGGCACUUGAAACUGGGAAUCUUGAAUAGUGGAGAGGUCAGUGGAAUUGGGGGUGUAGCGGUGGGAAUGCGUAGAGAUCCCCAAGAACACCAGUUGCGAAGGCGGCUGACUGGACACAUAUUGACGCUGAGGCUCGAAAGCAUGGGGAGCAAACAGG